GACGAACGCUGGCGGCGUGCUUAACACAUGCAAGUCGAACGGAAAGGCCCUGCUUUUGUGGGGUGCUCGAGUGGCGAACGGGUGAGUAACACGUGAGUAACCUGCCCUUGACUUUGGGAUAACUUCAGGAAACUGGGGCUAAUACCGGAUAGGAGCUCCUGCUGCAUGGUGGGGGUUGGAAAGUUUCGGCGGUUGGGGAUUGACUCGCGGCUUAUCAGCUUGUUGGUGGGGUAGUGGCUUACCAAGGCUUUGACGGGUAGCCGGCCUGAGAGGGUGACCGGCCACAUUGGGACUGAGAUACGGCCCAGCCUCCUACGCGAGGCAGCAGUGGGGAAUAUUGCACAAUGGGCGGAAGCCUGAUGCAGCAACGCCGCGUGCGGGAUGACGGCCUUCGGGUUGUGAACCGCUUUCGCCUGUGACGAAGCGUGAGUGACGGUAAUGGGUAAAGAAGCACCGGCUAACUACGUG
rnacentral:rRNA from 1 species